GACGAACGCUGGCGGCGUGCCUAAUACAUGCAAGUCGAACGGACAGGCCCUGCUUUUGUUGGGUUCUCGAUUGGCGCACGGGUGAGUAUAACGUGAGGAACCUGCCCUUGACUUUGUGGUAACUUCAGGGAACUGGGGCUAAUAUCCGAUAGGAGCUCCUGCUGCAUGGUGUGGGUUGGUAAGUGUCGGCGUUUGGGGAUGUAAUCGCGGCUUAUCAGCUUGGUGGUAGGGUAGUGGCUUACCAAGGCUUUGACGGGUAGCCAGCCUGAGAGGGUGACGGGCCACACUGGAAGUGAGACCCGGUCCAGAGGGCUACGGGAGGCAGCAGUAGGGAAUCUUGGGGAAUGGGGGGAAGCAUGACGGAGCAACGCCGCGUGAGUGAUGAAGGUCUGCGGAUCGGAGAACGCUGUUAUGAGGGAAGAACAAAUGUGUAAGUAACUAUGAACGUCUUGACGGUACAUAGGCAGAAGACCACGGCUAAAAACGUG
rnacentral:rRNA from 1 species